AUUGAACGCUGGCGGCAGGCCUAACACAUGCAAGUCGAGCGAGCGGCGGACGGGUGAGUAAUGUAUGGGGACUGCCCGAUAGAGGGGGAUAACUAUUGGGAACGGUAGCUAAUACCGCAUACUCUAGGAGUACCAAUAUGGGAUGAGCUAGUAGGUGAGGUAAUGGCUCACCCAGGCGAAGAUCCCUAGCUGGUCUGAGAGGAUGAUCAGCCACACUGGGACUGAGACACGGCCCAGACUCCUACGGAGGCAGCAGUGGGGAAUUUUGGACAAUGGGGGAAAGCCUGAUCCAGCCAUGCCGCGUGUAUGAUGAAGGCCUUCGGGUUGUAAAGUACUUUCAGUCGGGAGGCGUUACCGACAGAAGAAGCACCGGCUAACUCCGUGCCAGCAGCCGCGGUAAUAC
rnacentral:rRNA from 1 species